rnacentral:tRNA from 1 species
GGCGGCAUGGCCACGUGGUUUAAGGCGACGGAUUGCAAAUCCGUUAUUCGUGGGUUCGAAUCCCACUGCCGCCU